AGAUACCAGCUGGCUGCAACUGUUUAUUAAAAACACAGCACUGUGCAAACACGAAAGUGGACGUAUACGGUGUGACGCCUGCCCGGUGCCGGAAGGUUAAUUGAUGGGGUUAGCGCAAGCGAAGCUCUUGAUCGAAGCCCCGGUAAACGGCGGCCGUAACUAUAACGGUCCUAAGGUAGCGAAAUUCCUUGUCGGGUAAGUUCCGACCUGCACGAAUGGCGUAAUGAUGGCCAGGCUGUCUCCACCCGAGACUCAGUGAAAUUGAACUCGCUGUGAAGAUGCAGUGUACCCGCGGCAAGACGGAAAGACCCCGUGAACCUUUACUAUAGCUUGACACUGAACAUUGAGCCUUGAUGUGUAGGAUAGGUGGGAGGCUUAGAAGUGUGGACGCCAGUCUGCAUGGAGCCGACCUUGAAAUACCACCCUUUAAUGUUUGAUGUUCUAACGUUGACCCGUAAUCCGGGUUGCGGACAGUGUCUGGUGGGUAGUUUGACUGGGGCGGUCUCCUCCUAAAGAGUAACGGAGGAGCACGAAGGUUGGCUAAUCCUGGUCGGACAUCAGGAGGUUAGUGCAAUGGCAUAAGCCAGCUUGACUGCGAGCGUGACGGCGCGAGCAGGUGCGAAAGCAGGUCAUAGUGAUCCGGUGGUUCUGAAUGGAAGGGCCAUCGCUCAACGGAUAAAAGGUACUCCGGGGAUAACAGGCUGAUACCGCCCAAGAGUUCAUAUCGACGGCGGUGUUUGGCACCUCGAUGUCGGCUCAUCACAUCCUGGGGCUGAAGUAGGUCCCAAGGGUAUGGCUGUUCGCCAUUUAAAGUGGUACGCGAGCUGGGUUUAGAACGUCGUGAGACAGUUCGGUCCCUAUCUGCCGUGGGCGCUGGAGAACUGAGGGGGGCUGCUCCUAGUACGAGAGGACCGGAGUGGACGCAUCACUGGUGUUCGGGUUGUCAUGCCAAUGGCACUGCCCGGUAGCUAAAUGCGGAAGAGAUAAGUGCUGAAAGCAUCUAAGCACGAAACUUGCCCCGAGAUGAGUUCUCCCUGACCCUUUAAGAGUCCUGAAGGAACGUUGAAGACGACGACGUUGAUAGGCCGGGUGUGUAAGCGCAGCGAUGCGUUGAGCUAACCGGUACUAAUGAACCGUGAGGCUUAACCUU
rnacentral:rRNA from 1 species